UUUUCCUACGGGAGGCAGCAGUGGGGGAUAUUGCACAAUGGGGGGAACCCUGAUGCAGCGACGCCGCGUGGGUGAAGGAGCGUUUCGGCGCGUAAAGCCCUAUCGGCAGGGAAGAAGGAGGACGGUACCUGACUAAGAAGCCCCGGCUAACUACGUGCCAGCAGCCGCGGUAAUACGUAGGGGGCAAGCGUUAUCCGGAUUUACUGGGUGUAAAGGGAGCGCAGGCGGCGCGUUAAGCCUGGUGUGAAAGCCCGCGGCCCAACCGCGGGACUGCAUUGGGAACUGGCGCGCUGGAGUGCCGGAGG
rnacentral:rRNA from 1 species